AAGCUUAAAAUUGUCUUCAACCCAGGAGCAGCUUCAUCAACGGUAAUGGUGGUGAAAAGAUUGGAGUUUGUGUCUACUUUAAUGUCUGUUGUAACAUUCUUGUUCUUCAGCUGAGUGUUAACAUCAGCCAAAAACAGAUCACCUUUCUUCGAUCCUGAUGAAGUAAUAACAACUCCGGUGGGAGAGUAGGUAGUGAUAGAGAACUUGUGGUCACUCUGGUAGUCCUUGUACAACAGAUCUCGAGCCUUCUUUCCGAUUUCAGUGUAAAGUCCAGGACCCUUCCCCAUGAUUGAAGCUCAAAUUCUGAGUAAGAAGAAGAAGAGAAAUGAAAGGAA
rnacentral:misc_RNA from 1 species